GAUGAACGCUAGCUACAGGCUUAACACAUGCAAGUCGAGGGGAAACGACAUCGAAAGCUUGCUUUUGAUAGGCGUCGACCGGCGCACGGGUGAGUAACGCGUAUCCAACCUGCCCACCACUUGGGGAUAACCUUGCGAAAGUAAGACUAAUACCCGAUGAUAUCCCUAGAAGACAUCUGAAAGGGAUUAAAGAUUUAUCGGUGAUGGAUGGGGAUGCGUCUGAUUAGCUUGUUGGCGGGGUAACGGCCCACCAAGGCAACGAUCAGUAGGGGUUCUGAGAGGAAGGUCCCCCACAUUGGAACUGAGACACGGUCCAAACUCCUACGGGAGGCAGCAGUGAGGAAUAUUGGUCAAUGGGCGAGAGCCUGAACCAGCCAAGUAGCGUGCAGGAUGACGGCCCUAUGGGUUGUAAACUGCUUUUAUAAGGGAAUAAAGUGGGUCUCGUGAGACUUUUUGCAUGUACCUUAUGAAUAAGGACCGGCUAAUUCCGUG
rnacentral:rRNA from 1 species